rnacentral:lncRNA from 1 species
ACUGCGGCUGCGCCGCUUACCCGCACACAGACGGUUGGCAGAGGAAGAAAGCCUUGUCACACUAAAGGAGAGACAGCGGAUGUUCUGAACAGUCCUGUCGUGAAACGUUAGACAACGUGGACGAAACAGGCACAUUCCUAAGCAUCACACAUUACUGAAACUCAGUCAAGAAGAAAUAGAAAAUCUGAAUACAUCCAUGGCAAGCACAGAAACUGAACUAGGGGAUUCGAAAUCUUCCCACAAAGAAAAGCCUAGGCCCAACUGGCCUCUAUGUUUCAGACUUUGGACAACAUGUAGCCCAGGACAGUGAUCCCUGAGAAAAGGAAGACAAAUGAGGUGACACUGUGAUAGACCCAGAUCAACGCCUGGAAAAAGUUUCAAAGCUACAAUGUGAGGAGUGGGGACAAAACAGUCUAGUGGCUUUGCUGAGUGGAGAAGGCAAGUACUGGAGUCCAGGCAAAGUAUUGGUGAAGGUGGAGCCCUGGAGAAAAAGAACUCUAGAGAUCUGUAAGAGGCUCUCCUUGAAACUUCUACUGAGCACAGUUCUGCACAUGCAUGUAUAGAAUUUACUCAAGAUGAAGAAAGAACCAACGAAAAAAAGCAUAGUAUAAUGCUGAGAACUCAUAAAAUCGAGUAGGAAAUCUUGCCUAUUGAAAGAGCAUUGAGACAGAGUCCUCAGAAGGAAUUUUCUCAGUGGUGGGAACAAAUUAGCUAUAAACCCAAGUUUGCUCUGAUAUUGCUAUAACAAAGCUUAAAAGCAACUCUCAAAAGGCUCAAACUGAGUACAAAACAUCUAAUUGUAACCCAGGGUACUUCCCAACAGUAUUCAAGGGAAUAAAAUAUUUUGUGUAUAUUUUGUA